rnacentral:lncRNA from 1 species
CUUUUAGGGUCAGUACACCAUUCUCAAAGUGUCACCAAGACUGUCAUCAAAAAGUCAAUAACCAUGUUAAAUUCUCCACGGGAAGAGAAGACUAACACAACAGAACAAAAGAAAGAUAAAGAAAUGACUAUAGCACCAUGGCCUUCAAAUGAGAGAGGAAUGAGAAGUGCCUUAUUUCUUACCCGAGCUGUUUCUGCUAAAACAUCAAGUGUCACCAAACAACCUCUACCAGAUGUUCUAAGACAUGAAGCAAGUAACAUUUCUUUUGUACCAGAUAUAGACAGAACAAAUGAAGUAUGAAAUUACGAUCAAAUAUUGGUAUAAAACAAUUUCAUUCAUUAAGUGACAAUUUAGAGCAGCCUUACUUCCUGAAAUUUGCUACGUACUAGCAAAUUUGCUGGUAAGAUUUUAUAAAUUUGCUAGUAAGAUUUUACAAAAAUUGAAGUGAAAACCCUAGCAAUAGUCCUAUGCUACUUCAGUGAAUCAGUGUUCAUGGCUAUCAGUGAUUUUAGUAUUGCCAAGCUACAAAUAGGGAGAAUACCAGUAACAAUUUGUCAACUAGCAAAAGAAAACUGGUGAGCCUGAGAUUUUAAAUUUGUAAGAGACAUCCAAAUUUGAACACUGUAUUUGUCUCAAUUUUUAAUUUUUAAUAGUGAUUACCUGAAGCAACUUGAUUGUUCUCACUUAAUAGCCCUUAGGUAAUGAGC